rnacentral:rRNA from 1 species
AACGAACGCUGGCGGCAUGCCUAACACAUGCAAGUCGAACGAGACCUUCGGGUCUAGUGGCGCACGGGUGCGUAACGCGUGGGAACCUGCCCUUAGGUUCGGAAUAACUCCCCGAAAGGGGUGCUAAUACCGGAUAAUGUCUUCGGACCAAAGAUUUAUCGCCUUUGGAUGGGCCCGCGUUGGAUUAGCUAGUUGGUAGGGUAAAAGCCUACCAAGGCGACGAUCCAUAGCUGGUCUGAGAGGAUGAUCAGCCACACUGGGACUGAGACACGGCCCAGACUCCUACGGGAGGCAGCAGUGGGGAAUAGUGGACAAUGGGCGAAAGCCUGAUCCAGCAAGGCCGGGUGAGUGAUGAAGGCCUUAGGGUUGUAAAGCUCUUUUACCCGGGAUGAUAAUGACAGUACCGGGAGAAUAAGCUCCGGCUAACUCCGUG